rnacentral:rRNA from 1 species
AUUGAACGCUGGCGGCAGGCCUAACACAUGCAAGUCGAGCGGAUGAAGGGAGCUGCUCCUGGAUUCAGCGGCGGACGGGUGAGUAAUGCCUAGGAAUCUGCCUGAUAGUGGGGGAUAAACGUCCGGAAACGGGCGCUAAUACCGCAUACGUCCUGAGGGAGAAAGUGGGGAUCUUCGGACCUCACGCUAUCAGAUGAGCCUAGGUCGGAUUAGCUAGUUGGUGGGGGUAAAGGCCUACCAAGGCGACGAUCCGUAACUGGUCUGAGAGGAUGAUCAGUCACACUGGAACUGAGACACGGUCCAGACUCCUACGGGAGGCAGCAGUGGGGAAUAUUGGACAAUGGCGAAAGCCUGAUCCAGCCAUGCCGCGUGUGUGAAGAAGGUCUUCGGAUUGUAAAGCACUUUAAGUUGGAGGAAGGGCAGUAAGUUAAUACCUUGCUGUUUUGACGUUACCAACAGAAUAAGCACCGGCUAACUUCGUGCCAGCAGCCGCGGUAAUACGAAGGGUGCAAGCG